rnacentral:tRNA from 1 species
AAGAGAGUUGGCUGAGCGGUUUAAGGCGGUAAGCUUGAGACUUACUUGAUAAAGCAUUUUAUCACAUCCGUUCAAAUCGGAUAUUCUCU